GGCGGGGCUGGCGGUGAGGGGGCGGGCCGGGGGAACCCGGAAGCGGACCCACACCCUGGCGGUGAGACUGACGGAGAAAGCUAGCUGCUGUGUAUUUAGGGCCGGUAACUCACCCUUUCUGACCCUCAGUUUAUUUGGAGAACUUUCGGCAGAGAAUGAGAUGGUUAGACAGCAUCACCGACUCAAUGGACAGAAGUCUGAGGAAACUCCGGGAGACAGUGGAGCCUGGCGUGGUGCAAUCCAUGGGGUCGCAAAGAGACCGACACGACUUAGCGACUGAACAGCAGCACCGACUUAUCUAUUUACUUGAGUGAGUGAGUGAAGUCGCUCAGUCGUGUCCGACUCUUUGCGACCCCAUGGACUGUAGCCCACCAGGUUCCUCCAUCCAUGGAAUUUUCUAGGCAAGAGUACUGGAGUGGGUUACCAUUUCCUUCUCCAGCGGAUCUUCCCGACCUGGGGAUCGAACCCGUGUCUCCCGCAUUGCGGGCAGACGCUUUACCGUCUGAGCCACCAGGGAAUCGCAUCUAUUUACUUAGCGGUUAUAUUUUUAAAAUAGUUCUUUAAAUAAGCACUGGAGGCAUGUUUAGAGAAUUCACAUAGAAAAGAAGCGUAGCGCAGAGUGAAUUUCUUACCCACCCUUAUUCCCAGAGGCCACGGUUAAUUGUAUCUCCUUUCGGAGAGAUUCGAAGUCAAUGACAAAUCUUCCUUACUACGGACAAUACUAUAGAAAAAAGAUUCAAGGGCACAUUUCUUUGGCCAAUUGUGCAGGCUUAUGUAGGAUGAAUUCCUAGAAGUGAAACUUCCCAGAAUCCACGGGGGAAAGACCUGUGUAUUUUAAUUUGGAGAGAGAUUGUCAAACAGAUUGAACUGACUUGGAAAAGACUGUGAAGCUGGGAAAGUUUGAAGGCAAAAGAAGAGGGUGGCCGAGGAUGAGAUGGUUACAUAGCAUCACCGACAUAACUUUGAACAAACUCUGGUAGAUCGUGGAGGACAGAGGAGCCUGGCGUGCUGAAGUCCAUAGGGUCACAAAGAGCCGAACACAACUUAGCGACUGAACAGCAUCAAUUGUUAAGUUGUUUUUCAGUGAGCUUCUGCCAAUAAUGCUCUAAUCAGCUGGUUUUCCCACAACCUUUGCAACCUCAAUGGCAUCACAGUUUCCUGUACAUGUACUUUCAAAGUUUUAAAUCUUGCCUAAUCUGUUGCAUUGACUAGCACCUCCAGACAAUAUUAAAUCAUUGGAGGAGAUGGGUGGACUUAGGUUCUGCCUAAGACUCAGAAAACCAGCAUGUUUUACUCACGGAAAUGUUCUCUUAAGCUAUGUUAAUGCAACUGUGUAUUUGCUUGGAAAUCUGCCUUUCUUCAAGAUUCAAGUCAAUUUUUUUUAAGGAAUUUAUUUGGUCGCAAGAGGUCUUCGUUGAGGCGUGUGGAAUCUAGUUCCCUGACCACGGACUGAACCUGGGCCCCCUGCAUUGGAAGCAUAGACUCUUAACCACUGGGCCACCAGGGAAGUCCCCAUGUCAACUGUUGUAUGGCCUGGGAUGACUCACCUUGUGCCAGUGUUAUCGCAAAAUGCAUGUUGUGGGUGAGGGGCCGGGUGCCACUCUGAGUUUUCAGACAUUUCCUUUUCUCUAAUUAGCAGCUUACUAAUAGGUAUAUAACUUCUUGCUGAAAACUAGCAAGUUAAUAAAACUUUAUUACACAAAAUUUCUGAGCGGUCAAGCCUUGUCACUGGCUCUGGAUCAAAUUCAUCUCCUCCAGAGGCCAAGAAUCCCGGCGUCGUUCAUAGCUCAAAAGAGA
ensembl:lncRNA